AUUGAACGCUGGCGGCAGGCCUAAUACAUGCAAGUCGAGCGGAGCGGCGGACGGGCGAGUAAUGCCUAGGAAUCUGCCUGGUAGUGGGGGAUAACGUCCGGAAAGGGGACCUUAUACCGCAUACUAAUAGAUGAGCUUUGGUUGGAUUAGCUAGUUGGUGGGGUAAUGGCUUACCAAGGCGACGAUCCGUAACUGGUCUGAGAGGAUGAUCAGUCACACUGGAACUGAGACACGGUCCAGACUCCUACGGGAGGCAGCAGUGGGGAAUAUUGGACAAUGGGCGAAAGCCUGAUCCAGCCAUGCCGCGUGUGUGAAGAAGGUCUUCGGAUUGUAAAGCACUUUAAGUUGGGAGGCGUUACCAACAGAAUAAGCACCGGCUAACUACGUGCCAGCAGCCGCGGUAAUUC
rnacentral:rRNA from 1 species